rnacentral:lncRNA from 8 species
AUGUGUGUGCAUGUGUGCGUGUGUGUGUAUGUGUGUGUGUGUGUGCGUUCCAGUGUCACCCAGGGCCGGGGGGUGUACCUGGUCUACCAGGGCUUGAUGGCUGUAACGGGACCAGAGGGGACACUGGUUUCCCUUGAAUCCAUGGGCUGGACGGGCCUGAUGGGGGAGCGGGAUCAAAGGGGUGCCAGGGGACCCCACCAUUCAGUUCAUCCAGUACUCUGCUAUACCUGUAAGUGGGCUUUCACAACCAUCACCCCUCCAUACAGUCUCUUUCAUUUGUGUGUCCACCUGUACAUGCUUGCCAACCCAUACAUGCUUGCAUCUCUUACGCAAAAUAUUAAUCUUAUUUGAUUAUUGAUUGAUUUAUUGAUGGAUGAUGGGUGGAUAGAUUGAUUGUCAUAAACCUUUUAGGUGCCCAACCCAUGUCUGCAUACAAAAUAAAAAUGAAAAUGCCCUAUGCAUCCACACGAUCAAUCAUCCUACAGUCAUUGUCUGUGUACCUGACUCUCACUCCUAUACCCUCUUAGCUUUGUACACCCAUUUGCCCAUCCUCACCCACUCCAAUGCCUCCUCACAUUGCCAUGUAUGUUCUGUUUUUAAGACUUCUUCUCUCAUUCUUUUCUCUUCUUCAUCUCUGACAGGGUGAUGUCGGCCGUGCUAGGGUUACUGGACUGCCUGUGAGUAAGAUGGUUGUUGGACGGUUGUUGGAUGGGUUCCCUAUAGCCUGUCAAGUCACAACAUACACUACUUCAAAAUGGCCCCCUUACCAGAAUGUGCCUGCCUCUGCUGCUAUGACACAUUCAAUGUCUACAUAGUUACCACUGCAUUACUAUUGCCUGGUCACCAGAUCUGUAUGCGAUUUAGCCAUCUUCACUAACUGUCCUUGUCAUGCCAACAAUGUACGUAAGAAGAGCAGCCAGGUUGACAUAUACCCAGUGCUUAAAACCUCUUAAGGAUCCGCCUCUUUGUUUAAAUGUAAAUAGUCCUUUCAGUAUUGACACAAUAUCCCCAUACGUCUUGUUACCUGCCGUCUGGCUGUAGCAGGCUGUGUAGUAAAAUUAAAUGUACUUGGCCGCAUGACACAAAACAUUUUUGGCACAAUUUUGUCCUGAUCAAUGCCAUUAGCUAGAACAAAAUAUUCAAACCGUUCUGUAUGAGCUCCAUUGCUAAACACUUUCAUCAAACUGUCCAAUAUUUCUAACAAUUCCAGACAUUUAUUGUUUCUCAAUUGGCUCCUGUUUGUUACUCACCUCAAUUGUCCUCAACCAUGGCAACGUUCUGUUCAGCCGUAAUAAUAUUUUCUUCAGUCAAAUGAUCUUCAUUCACUUCAUUGACUGAUGUUUUAUCCUGAAAUUCGCUGAUUUAGCAGCUUUUAAUUCAAAAGUUUUUCUUCAAACUUGUCCUUUCCUUUAUUCACUGUAUAUUCCAUCUCAUUGUUUUCCCGCUCCGACAUCCGUCUCAAAUCCCUUUCUGCCGUCUAUGACGAUGCUAGCUCUAGCUAGCUCGACUAUGCAAUUGCCUCUGCUAGCAAUACACUGUGCUAAUAUUAGCCUAGACUGUCCCACGAAAAAGAACAUGUUUUAAUUUUUUCCCCCUUUUUCAUGGUAUCCAAUUGGUAGUUACAGUCUUGUCUCAUCACUGCAACUCCUGUACGGACUCGGGAGAGGCAAAGGUCGAGAGCCGUGCAUCCUCCGAAACACGACAGACUGCUUCUUGACACAAUGUCCCCUUAACCCGGAGGACACACCGUACACCUGGCGACCAUGUCAGGGUGCAUGCGCCCAACCAGCCACAGGCGUCACUAGAGUGCAAUGGGACAAGGACAUCACCUGCCGGCCAAAACCUCCAAUAACCGGGAUGACGCUGGGCCAAUUGUGCACCUCCCCAUGGGUCUCCCGGUUGCGGCCGGCUGCUUUAGAGCCUGGAACCAGGAUCUCUAGUGGCACAGCUAGCACUGCGAUGCAGUGCCUUAGACCACCACGCCACUAAGGAGGCCGGAAAAUAGCUGUUUUAAACUUGUAAAAACCGACUUCUUCCGAACAGAAAAGUUCACGUAGGUUCAGACUUACUCGUCGCCAAUCUGUUAUUAUGUCUCGUGGGUUUCAUAACCACGUCUUUAUAACAAUUCAAUAAUGAUCAGACGGGAGACAGGAAUCAGUUCAACCAUUUAUCUAGAACGUGCUCGGUCUCAACACAUACAACCCCCAUGAUGCUCUGUUUUUGAGGUUUACAGUAGUUUCUACACAGAUAUGUGCUCUUUUGUCAUGGACCAGGCUAUACAUUGAUGUUACUACUGUGGGCAUGAACCUCUUUAGUCAGAAACUCUUAGGUGCAUCCAUAUCGUUUGAUAUGGUAGCACCUACAUUUGAUUUAUAUGUAUUGAACAAGUUGAGUCUCCACAGCCACAUAUAGACGAAUCAGUGUCCUUGGCCACUGGUGAUUUGCAGUGGUG